rnacentral:rRNA from 1 species
AAAACAACUCUCGGCAACGGAUAUCUCGGCUCUCGCAUCGAUGAAGAACGUAGCGAACUGCGAUACUUGGUGUAAAUUGCAGAAUCCCGUGAACCAUCGAGUCUUUGAACGCAAGUUGCGCCCAAAGCCAUUAGGCCGAGGGCACGUCUGCCUGGGCGUCACG